UUAGAUACCCGGGUAGUCCACGCUGUAAACGAUGGAUGCUAGCCGGGUAUCUAAU
rnacentral:rRNA from 1 species